UUGCUUCCCUUCCAAACUUGAUAGACUCGUUGUGCCAUGAAGAACCAAACCCACUGCGACUACGCCGGAAGGGAAUCGAAGACAUCGAACUCGCUCAUCCUCCUCGAGCCCUCGAAAUCGAUGACAAAAGCAGCAGGAAAAGAUAUUAAAGGUUAGAUUUUGCAGCGCUUUUUGGUCUUCCCUUCUGAAAUAAGUUGAGAACGAAAUGAUUUUUUCCCCCCUUUUCUUCCCUCCUCCCCUUUUUCUUUGUUUUUCUUGGCUUCGAUAUUCGAUCGAAGGCUGUUGAAAGCUGAGGUAGAGUGAGGUGUAAAACAGGGUCUUUUCAGAAGAAAAAAAGAAGGGAGAAUACUCUCUCUCUCUCUUCUCCCUCUAUUUUUAUUUCUCUCUCUUGCCCUCGGUGGUUUAAUCGGGGCUAUACCGGCCUGUUACGCAACUAGAAAAAAAAAAAAAAGGGGAGGUUUUUAAUAGGGUGGGAUCCAGCCAAGAGCAAGGACAGUGGUUGUAUCUUUCACCCGAAUGAAAGAUUUACCUUCCUUCGCAAGAAUCCACCGUUGGAUCAUGCAACAGGAUUGUGUGGAUGCUUUGCGAUCGGUGCAAGAAUCGAUCCAACGUUCUAUGUUGCGAUAGAAGAUAAUCGUUGGUUUGCGCAAAGGAUAC
rnacentral:lncRNA from 1 species